UUUAAGGUUGGAUCAGGACUGCCUGUGCUGUUGAAGGCAUACAAUCGGUCGGAGAAAAAUUGACAUUGAGCACGCCCAAAUGUGUGAGCACCUGUUAUGUUAUGCAUGUCAAAUGUUGUCACUAAAGAGCAACAUAGACACACACACACGUACGUAUAUUAAUAUGUCCAUUUUUUUUUUCUUUCCUUCCUUACUUACCGGAUAGUGCAACCAGAUCAGUGGUGUCGAGGCCAACAGCUGCGAAGCUGGCCUUGAGUUCGUCAAGGGUGAAAGAGGGAGCUGGAAGGGCUUCGUUGGCAGCCGUGCGAUUCGCUGUUGUGCUAUCCCUUCUUCCUAAUAGAACUGUCCAUGAG
rnacentral:lncRNA from 1 species